GACCACUCAAGUGGCUGAAGUGGUUAGAUGGUCUGCCUCAGAUGCAGAAGAUUGCAGGUUCAAACCCUGCCGAGUCA